ACGUAGUCCAUACUCGGGAUUAACUUGUUUUUAAUGUCGCCAUAUCUGUCACAUUUUGCACCCAAUAGCCCGAUCAGCUGCGGAGUGUUGACAGUGGAGGAGUAGUUUGCUUCUUGGUGUCUAUGUGUGUGUGGGGGGGUGUUGUGCAUGAGGCUGUGGAUAGGCUGCGGUGCAGGCGCGCAGUACAAUGUGAGUGUCUGGAUGAGGAGCAGACGUCGCACUGAGGUUACAGUGCUGAUGUCCUGUCACACUGAUGGGGGCCGACGGCAGCAAGAACAGGAAGAGGCCCUCUGAAGGCCAAGAAGAGGAGCACUUUACAUCUGGAUGGCGUAGCUUCCUCUCCAGCAUGGGUCUAUCUAUCCCAGCCAGCCUCUGUCGCCUGGCCCCACCCGCCCUGCGUCUGGGUCAGCGUCGAAUGCUCGAAGGCAAGGCCAACGACAUUCCAGAGCACGUCCUGAGGUUGGCGGGUGUUGGCCCAGACAAGCUGCGAGCCGAGUGGAGCCUGCCAGGGUUCAUUACCAUGUUCCUGCCUGAAUUUCCCCACAGAACUGUGCCUGGGCACGAGUACUUUCAGGUGUUGGGCUACAUCGCCAAAGGUUCGUUUGGACCCAUUUUAAAAGUGAAGGACAAGUCCAAACAGAAAACCUAUGCUGUCA
rnacentral:lncRNA from 1 species